rnacentral:rRNA from 1 species
CGUCUCCUACGGGAGGCAGCAGUGGGGAAUAUUGCGCAAUGGGGGAAACCCUGACGCAGCAACGCCGCGUGCAGGAUGAAGGCUUUCGGGUUGUAAACCGCUUUCAGCAGGGAAGAUAAUGACGGUACCUGCAGAAGAAGCCCCGGCUAACUACGUGCCAGCAGCCGCGGUAAUACGUAGGGGGCAAGCGUUAUCCGGAUUCAUUGGGCGUAAAGCGCGCGCAGGCGGGCCGCUAAGCGGGACCUCUAAUCUUGGGGCUCAACCUCAAGCCGAGUCCCGAACUGGCAGCCUCUCGGGCGGUAGGG